rnacentral:rRNA from 1 species
AGCGGCCAGUAUCAACGCAGAGUACAUGGGGCAUGGCUAUCACGGGUAACGGAGAAUAGGGUUCGAUCCGGAGAGGGAGCCNGAGAAACGGCUACCACAUCUAAGGAUGGCAGCAGGCGCGAAAUGCCCAAUCCCGAUUCGGGAGGCAGUGACAAGAAAUAACAACCCAGGACUAGUUCCAGGGAUUGCAAUGAGAACAACUUAAAAACCUUAUCGAGCAACAACUGGAGGGCAAGUUCUGGUGCCAGCAGCCGCGGUAAUUCCAGCUCCAGUAGCGUAUAUUAAAGUUGCUGCAGUUAAAAAGCUCGUAGUUGAAUUUCUGCUUGUUAGAGUCAAGUCCUCGCGGAUGAGAUUUCUUCGAGCAUCUGUUUGCAAACAUAUGUUCGGUCUUUAUUGAUUGGCUAUGUGAGCAAACGUUUUACCUUGAGAAAAUUAGAGUGUUCCAGGCAGGCUUCAGCCGGAAUACAUUAGCAUUUGCGAAUMAUGUUUUCAUUAAUCAAGAACGAAAUUAGGGGAUCAAAGACGAUUAGAUACCGUCCUAGUCUUAACUGUAAACGAUUCCAUCUUGGAAUUGGGUAGGAUAUAUUAUGAUUCAUCCAGCGCCAUAAGAGAAAUCAAAGUCUUUGGGUUCUUGGUGGAGUACGAUCGCAAGAUUGAAACUUAARGGAAUUGACGGUUUUGCACACCAUGGAGUGGAGCCUGUGGCUUAAUUUGACUCAACACUGGGAAACUCAUCAGGACAAAAAGUUUUAGGAUUGACAGAUUGAUAGCUCUUUCUUGAUUGACUUAAUGGUGGUGCAUGGCCGUUCUAGUUGGUGGAGUGAUUUGUCUGGUUAAUUCCGUUAACGAACGUAGACCUUCAAACCUACUAAAUAGUAACGACGUGAACAACGUUAGUUACUUCUUAAAGAAGGGAACAAAUAGUAGUAGUUAAACACAAAGGAAGUUUGAGGACAAUAACAGGUCUGUGAUGCCCUUAGAUGUCCUGAGCCGCACACGUCGCUACAAUGACACUUUCAAUAAGUAUCUGCUGGCCCGAAAGGGUACAGGCUAAUCUUUUAGUA